rnacentral:rRNA from 1 species
GAUGAACGCUAGCGGCAGGCCUAACACAUGCAAGUCGAGGGGCAGCACAGGAAGGUAGUAAUACUUUUGGGUGGCGACCGGCGGACGGGUGCGUAACGCGUAUACAACCUGCCUUCUACUGGGGGAUAAUUCGGAGAAAUCUGGUCUAAUACCCCAUAACAACCGAUGAGGCAUCUCAUUGGUUUAAAAGCUCCGGCGGUAGAAGAUGGGUAUGCGUGACAUUAGAUAGUUGGUGGGGUAACGGCUCACCAAGUCGACGAUGUCUAGGGGGACUGAGAGGUUAACCCCCCACACUGGUACUGAGACACGGACCAGACUCCUACGGGAGGCAGCAGUGAGGAAUAUUGGUCAAUGGACGCAAGUCUGAACCAGCCAUGCCGCGUGCAGGAAGACGGCUCUAUGAGUUGUAAACUGCUUUUGUACGAGGGGAAACCCAGGGACGUGUCCUUGGUUGAAAGUGCCGUACGAAUAAGGAUCGGCUAACUCCGUGCCAGCAGCCGCCGUAA